rnacentral:rRNA from 1 species
CUUAGCGGCCAUAGCGCGGUGGUCCCACCUGAUCCCAUACCGAACUCAGAAGUGAAACGCCGUAGCGCCGAUGGUAGUGUGGGGUCUCCCCAUGUGAGAGUAGGGAACUGCUAAGC